GGAAGGAAGGAAGGAAGGAAGGAAGCAAAGGUGGGAGGGACGAGGAAAAAGUUUAGUGAGGAAAGAGGCAUAUUUCUACGAUACCACGAGCCAGAGAAAAGGGAUAAAGCGAGCGAGAACGAGAGAACGCGGCUGGCUUCGGAUGACAGAACGCGGCUCUCUUCGCGAACAGUUUUAACUUUGUAAAAGACACGGCGAUUAGAAAUAGUCGAAAAUUUGUACAAGAAUACGUGUCCUUCUUCGUACCAAGUUCACCUUUCUCUUCGUUCACGACUUCGCCUCUUGUAUCCGUGUUAUAUAUCACACGUAUGCACGGAUGGAGAAGAGACGCUGCAUUUUUCUUCAUAUAUACGUGAUCUUCGGCCGCGACUAUCGGUUUGUUAUCGCGAGAAAAAUUGUAACAAUGGCCGCUAGAUGGCGAUUAAUGACAGGGGAAUGGCGGACAUGGUGUAAAAGAGUAACGCGAGAAACACACGCGUUACCUUCGAUCGAGGUCAUGGUCGUGUCUAGGGUCCUUAUUCAAUGCCACGGUUAAGUGUCGCUGCCAUUAUCUGUCACGUGACACUGCGCACGAUAACGAACAAGUUUGGCUUAAUAAUGGAAUUAAAGAAACGCGGCCUUUCGAAAUUGAGUAAUAGCGUGGAACCAGGGGACCCUAACGAUACAUUAUCUUUGGCUAUGUCCAAUGAAAAUGCAUCAGGCGUCGGUUGCAAUUCCACGAAAUUAACCCGCUGUCGUUGCGAGCCAAAGAUAGCGAGAGUGUCCAAGAACAAUGACGUGAGCACUUUGACGUUUAUGCUGCGAGUGGAUUACUCACCUUCGCCAGCCGAUCGAUAACUUUGUGAAAUAACUAAAACACGUUCUCUUGUUCGUUCGUUUAUUUUCGUUGCUUUCCUCCGCGGAAGAGUGGCGGAAAUUUUUCUAUAAAUUUUAUCUCCAACGAACAUGCAUACAGGGACCAAUGGGAUACUUGUAUUCGAAAAUAUUUGAACGCGUAAGAAAAUGGAGGGAAAUUUUCGUGUAUUCGAGUUUGGAAAAC